UAUGAAGAACGCAGCGAAAUGCGAUAAGUAAUGUGAAUUGCAGAAUUCAGUGAAUCAUCGAAUCUUUGAACGCACCUUGCACCCUUUGGCAUUCCGAAGGGUAUGCUCGUUUGAGUGUCAUUGUACUCUCACACUCUCCGAUCCUAUGGAUUCGGGGAGCGGUGGACUUGGGUGUUGCUGCCUUUCCUUGUGGCUCACCUCAAAUGUGUCAGUGCACCUCUUGGUUGGACAUAGUACGGCGUGAUAAGUGUCUUCGCCGGCACCUCGCAAGAGGGUGGCCGAUCGGGAGCUCUGUGCUUUCAAACCGUCUUCGGACAAUUUCUGACAACUUGACCUCAAAUCGAGUAGGACUACCCGCUGAACUUAAGCAUAUCAAUAAGCGGAGGA
rnacentral:misc_RNA from 1 species